rnacentral:rRNA from 1 species
GAUGAACGCUGGCGGCGUGCCUAAUACAUGCAAGUCGAGCGAAUGGAUUAAGAGCUUGCUCUUAUGAAGUUAGCGGCGGACGGGUGAGUAACACGUGGGUAACCUGCCCAUAAGACUGGGAUAACUCCGGGAAACCGGGGCUAAUACCGGAUAACAUUUUGAACCGCAUGGUUCGAAAUUGAAUGGCGGCUUCGGCUGUCACUUAUGGAUGGACCCGCGUCGCAUUAGCUAGUUGGGGAGGUAACGGCUCACCAAGGCAACGAUGGGUAGCCGACCUGAGAGGGUGAUCGGCCACACUGGGACUGAGACACGGCCCAGACUCCUACGGGAGGCAGCAGUAGGGAAUCUUCCGCAAUGGACGAAAGUCUGACGGAGCAACGCCGCGUGAGUGAUGAAGGCUUUCGGGUCGUAAAACUCUGUUGUUAGGGAAGAACAAGUGCUAGUUGAAUAAGCUGGCACCUUGACGGUACCUAACCAGAAAGCCACGGCUAACUACGUGCCAGCCGCCGCGGUAA